AUCAGAGAGAAGUCUGUCGUUUCACCCUAAAAUCGAGCUAUGACAUUUUGAUUAAGAAUUAUGAGGUCAAAAUUAUGUGUCAUUCACAAUAGGAUCUAUAACAUGCAUUUACAAAAUAGACAGGGUGAAUUUUCAUUUCAUUCCAGUCCAUAACAUGUUGCAGGAUUACUGUGCGGACAUUGUUUGACUGUCAUCCAGAGGGAGGAGUUUCUGCCUUGGCCCUAUCAAAAGGAUUCAAAAUAUCUAGCGACUGUUGGAGCUGGAGCAGCACUGCGAGUGUGUGUUUGGAACUGGACAGAUGAAAGUGAAAGCCCAGAAUGUCAAGUUGACCUCAGUCCAAAAUAUGGUUGCCAGAAUCAAAUACUUUUCAAUCCCUCUGACAACACACAGUUGGUCAGCAACAGCGGCACUCAGGUUCUCUUCUACAACUGGGUAGGAAUUAAUUAUUUAUUUACAUUACUGAUUUACUAGUUUAGUU
rnacentral:lncRNA from 1 species